UUCCCACCUGAUGUUCAGAAGUGGACGGGAAAGGACUUUCAUCAUGUAGAGUUCAGUUUCUUCAUCCUUGGCUGAUUUUUGGAGAAGUGCAACGAACUCCUCCAAACUCGAACUAGUACUGAAGAAAAAACACAGAUAAUCAAAGAAUUUUGAUGAGAAAUGAGUGAGAAAUCGAAGAUCUAGGGCUAAAUUUUCCUGUCGCUAUUUCUCUCUCCUCCCGUUUAUUGAGAGAAAUUUGAUUUAAAAAGAAUGGAGUUACGUUUUGUUUGCAGUAUCUGUAUUUCUUUCUACGAUUACAGAAGAUUCUAUUUGUUACUUCAUCAUCAUCUCCAUGGUUUAAUUCAAUGGUUGGAAACCAAGCAUUAUCUCAACCUUUUUCUGUCAAUUUUUGAGAGGAUUUGAUGUAGUUGACAAGAUUAAAUCCAGCGUUGAAUCGGUUUGUCCUGGUGUUAUUUAUUGCUCUGAUAUUCUGGUUCUUCUGCAAGAGAUAGUGUUGCUCUGAGUGGUGGACCUUUCUAUCCAGUUCCUUAUAGGAAGGAGAGAUGGUCUUAUUAUAUCUCACCCUGAAAUUGCUAAAGUGGAGCUUCCAGCACCAACUGAUGAUCUCUCUGUCAUCCUGCUCAAGUUUUUCACUAGAUAUUUCAACGAACAAGAAACAGUCAGUCUUUUGGGUGUUUUCAAAAGUCUGGACUGGUGGUGUGGCGUAUUGCUGGUGGGUCAUGAAUGAGCUGAUGGUAGAGGUUAUGAUAUUACAUGGUGAUGGACUAGCUGUAACUUGACAUAGGUGAGUUCAUGGUUGUUGGUAACUAACUGAAUUGUUGGAACUACCACUCGUCUCUGUACGACCAGUCCAAUUAGACCUUCCAUAGUUCUUUGAUAGCAACUAGUUUAAUCUACAACUGUUUACAAUCAUAAAUGUGGUCCUGAUGUUUAAAAGCGUGUGCAGUUGAAUACUACAGGUGAUUGUGGUGUAUCGGACCUUAAUACCUAAUUUUAGGAAUACUUAGAUAGUUUGGCUUAUGUACCAUGUGAAGUGGUGACGCAGCGAAUGCAGGUACAAGGCACCAAAAUAUCUCGGAGUUCUAUUGUCAUGAAAGAAAAUGUCUGGCAGAAAUCUGGAGGAAAAAUGUAUGUAAACUACUCCUGAAUAUUUCAGGCAGGCUCCUCAAUUUGGAAACAACAAGGUGUGGGGGUGGGGGUUGUAUACUGGGUUACAUUUUAUGAAUCCCUGAAGGAUUUUGCUGAAUAUGGGAAGCAAAGAUGGUUGCCUAAUUCAGAUACUCAACCUAAUUUUGUCAAGGGGUUACUACUAGGGGGAUUGGCUGGUGAUGCGUGUAUGCUAGCAAAGAAUCUUUCUUUAUGAUAGUUGCAAUUUCGUUGUGUGGCUGUUCUUCAUUACUGCAAUGACAUUGCAUUUCACCCCUCUUCUUGGUUUUAUUGCAUAUCUCUUUACCCUGCUGGAUUUCAUCCAAACAAGACCAAGUACAAGGUCUGAUUGUGAGGAUGGGUUAAAUUUGAAAUAUACAAUCUUUAAAUGCUAUCACUUUGCAAAGGCGGUGGCUACGAUUUGGAUGAUUGAAGGUGGAAGGGGUUUGUUCAGAGGCAGUGUACCUAGAGUCAUAUGUUCCAGCCUCUGCCCUCACAUUCAUGGCUGUGGAAUUCCUCGGAGAUACUUUGGAACUGAAGCAGACAGUAAAUGAAUUUACAAAUUUAUCAAUGGAGAAAACAAGUACAACCUUGUUCCAGCCUCCACCCUUACAUUCAUGGCGGCGAUAUUUUUCGGAUCUGAAGUAGACAGCAAUGAAGUUACGAAUUUGUCAAUAGGUAAAACAAGUACAACCACAACCUUACCGGAGGUAGUCUAGAAAACCUUUCCAUCUUACUUUACCCUAACCAGUUUCUAUACAAGGACUGUUAUACCUUUCUGUAUCAUAUUUUGGAUCCUUCUUCUAUAAGCAAAUAUGUUAAAAAUUUUGUGAAGCAAACUAGUCCUACUUCUGGCUUCUGCUUGGGGAGAAACAGAAUGACUUCUCUACUUAUGGUUUAUAUUGGUUAAAAAAGUUCACCACCCAGUCCGGCCCAAGUUAUGAUUCCUUAAUACCGACUGACCCACCUUGUUAACGGAUGAAUCGCUUUUCUUUAUUUACUAGGAGUAUUUCUUUCUAUGAUACAAAAUCCUUUUCUGACUACACCUUUCUGAGAUUAAUCUCCUCUAUAUAUACCUCAUUCCCCUAUGCUUAGUUUUCACACAACCUCAUCGCUUUUCUCCUCUCGCGAACUUACUCUUCGAUUAACUUUUUUUUUCUUCGAUCGUCGUGGCUAAGUUUAUAAUUUAUGUGUAAACUCUCAGUGAUUUGAUAGAACUAGUGUGGAGAUGUAUGAGCAUGGUGUGAGUUGCUCAU